AACGAACGCUGGCGGCGUGCCUAACACAUGCAAGUCGAACGUGAUUGGAAGCUUGCUUCCAUGAAAGUGGCGCACGGGUGAGUAACGCGUAGAUAAUCUACCUGAUGGAUCGGGAUAACACUUCGAAAGGGGUGCUAAUACCGGAUAAGCCCACGGAGUCCUUGGACACUGCGGGAAAAGGAGGGGACCUUCGGGCCUUCCGUCAUCAGAUGAGUCUGCGUACCAUUAGCUAGUUGGUAGGGUAAAGGCCUACCAAGGCGACGAUGGUUAGCUGGUCUGAGAGGAUGAUCAGCCACACUGGAACUGAGACACGGUCCAGACUCCUACGGGAGGCAGCAGUGGGGAAUUUUGCGCAAUGGGGGAAACCCUGACGCAGCAACGCCGCGUGAGUGAUGAAGGCCCUUGGGUCGUAAAGCUCUGACAGAGGGAAAGAAAUGUGGGUGGCUAAUAUCCAUUCCACUUGGCGGUACCCUCAAAGGAAGCACCGGCUAACUCCGUGCCAGCCGCCGCCGUGACAC
rnacentral:rRNA from 1 species